AUGCAAAGAUCCCUUGAUGUGUGGAGAAGUUCCUUCUGUUUCUGCCACCCAAAGAAUUACUGCCCUGGAAAUGUCACUAGAACUGAGGAAACUAUAUGGAAAUGUGUGAAUUGGAUUAUUUUAGAAGAAUGUGUGCAACAUACACAAUGGAAAUACCAGUUUUUAUGGUCCAAUAGGCAAAUAAUUACCAGAAAGGAAAUGAAAAUAGAUGAGAAUUUUUACUCGUUUAGCAAUGGUUGACGAUAUUUACUUCUCAGCGCAAACCUUGCCCUUUGUUCCUUACCAAAGGAACACGGAACUGUAGAUUUUCAGACUCAAAUAUUUUUCUUUACAAAACCGCUGGUAAGAGUCAAUUCGUAUCUUUUGCCGGUAGAUGGGGCUGUCCUUUCAGGUCUGUGUAUCUUUUUUUCCCCUAUAAUUAAUUUUUUUUACCCUUCUUUCUGUGUCUCUUCACCCUUCACUCAUCCCACCUUCUUUCUUUUUUUCUCUUUCUUUCUCUUUUUCUUUUUCUUUCUCUUUCUUCCUCUCUCUCUCUCUCUUUUUUUUUUUUUUUUGGUCUGCUAUUUGAUCGUAUUAGGUAAUACACACUGAGCCUCAGCAGGAAGCACUGUGGCUUUUUUUUGUUUGCUUUUCCCCCAGUGCAAAUGCAGUAAUUUAUGAAUACUUGUUAAUCUUUUGGAACUGGGAUUCUGGGAAAGUUUAUUAGAGAGCAUUUUAUCACCACUAUCUCUUAGGUUUUUAUUUUUGUCUUUCUGAUAAUACAUUUGAAAUUCCUGUUUUAUCUGGUAAGCCAGCAGGAUGUUAAAUCCUAGACUUUAGUUCAUUUAUGUUAGCUGUCCAUAUGGGGUGUUCCCCCUGACUUUUCUUUCUUUGUGGUUAAUGCUAAGCAUAAAUUAAGGAGAAAAUCCAGUUUGGUGGUUUUAAAAAUGUUUUAAAAGCUGCAGUCAAGUCUGUUGACAGCAGAAUAUUCUGCUACAAGUUGCAUUUCAUUGUAAUUAUAUUUUUGGAUUUUUGCCAGCUUGGAUUUUUGUGGGUUUCUUUCUUCUUUUUGUACUAUUGUUAUUCAAGAGCUAUUUAGAAGUAACAGUGGUCAUAUUGUUCCUUCAUAUGGAAAACAUACUAAGAACUGAAGCAAGUCAAUGCUAUAGUUGCAGGAGCAACAUUCCCAUGGAGAAGCUUGCUUUAAACACUAAAUGCUUUACCUAAGUGGUUGGGGGUUUACUGUAGGUAGAAAAGAUCACCUCCUCUCUUUUUCUGUAUCUCACCCUUUCUUCAGUUUUUCUGAUCACAUACUUUACCAGAAACCCUUCUUUUAGCUACAUACAGAUCAAACCUGGUUGUAAUGCUACAGGUACAACUCGGUUCAUAAUCUGAACCGUCUUGCUUUUUCAAACAGCACAAGAAAUUGGCCAGGUGGACAUCAAGCUCUUUCAGCGUCUUUUCUAAAAUGGAUUUCUUCUCUGCUCCUUAUCUGAGGUACGUGUUUAAAAGACUCUCAGUGAAUUCACUUACUGUGGGUUGAGCUGACUGCUCCAUCCCCCCUUUGAAAGAGUUGUGGUCGUUCAUCCUACAGUAUUUGAAAAUGGAUUGGUGUUUUUCUGUCACUGUUGAAAAUCUAUUCAGUUGCAUUUAUUUCAGAAAUGCUUAUUUCAUAGUUAUGAUGUCUAAUGCUUGAACUGUAUUGGCUUUAUGAGUACUGUAUUCUUGAAAUGCACCUACUUUUUCAUUAUGUUUUUCAAGCUUGACCCAUGUGUUAUUAAGUACAAAGGAAGAAGAUUGUGCUAAAAAUGACUCUGAGAAUUAAUGUGAAACAAUAACAGGAUGAUUGCUGUCAAGACUGACACCUUGUUGGUUUACUCUCUUGAGCCUAAUUUGUGUGAUCUUGAAUAUUUGCUGAAAUGUUUAGACACAAGAAAGCAAGCUAGAGACAGGCAGCCUUAAUCAGAUUGUCUUCAGUUUGUCAGAUAGUUGCAGGUAGUUUUCAUUAUUUUAAACAAAGUAUCCAUGUCUAGGGAAGAAAAGAAGAUCGAAUUUUUAUUGUAUAAUGAAGAGUAUGAUCCAAACAGUUCUAGGGAAAUUUUAGGAAAAUGAUAGCAAUUUGCUUAAUCGCUCUUUUUAAGUAAAAGGCCUUGCUAUAAUGAAAUUUGGGGAUACAUUGUAGAUAAGUAUAAUGGAAUCAUAUAUCCUAUCAGUUGUUUGAAACACUACUUUAUAUCGGGGGUAAGAAUAACUUCUUACUGAUCACUGAAAUCUAUAAUAAAAUUAUUUUCUUAGAAUAUUAACUUGCUUUG
rnacentral:lncRNA from 1 species